AUACCCGUUGAUCCUGCGGGAGGUUGCCACUAGUAGGAUUCGGCUAAGCCAUGCAAGUUGGAGGCAGCAAUGCCUCGGCAUAAUGCUCAGUAA
rnacentral:rRNA from 1 species